GUAGGUGAACCUGCGGAAGGAUCAUUACAAGUGAGGCUACCGAACGCUGGAAACGGCGGUUAGGAGCUUACACCCACCCGUGUUUACAUACUAUUGUUGCUUUGGCGGGCCGUGGCCUCCACUGCGCCCGCCAGAGGACCAAACUCUGAAUGUUAGUGAUGUCUGAGUACUAUCUAAUAGUUAAAACUUUCAACAACGGAUCUCUUGGUUCUG
rnacentral:misc_RNA from 1 species